rnacentral:lncRNA from 1 species
CAACGGUGGCAGCACCGGACCCGUCAUGGCAGGCGGCGGCGCGACCCCGCCGGGCCCCCCCCGGCCCUGGAGCCGUCUCCACGCCGCGGCCGCGCGGUGCAGCCGCGAUCACCAGGCCCCCCCGCAACCCCAGCGGCCCCCGGAGCCGUGGCCGCGGAGCUGGGUGAGCCCCAGGAAGGAAUCGGUGCAUCGGAUCCAGGGACGGAUCGAGUGCCCGCACAGCGCUGCCACCAACGGCGGCUACUCCCGGAAGAAAAACGGCGGCUUCUUCUGCUCGUAGGACCCCGCAAUAAAGCACGGAGCGGAGCCGGGCUCA